rfam:Porphyromonas sp. COT-108_OH1349 contig_34, whole genome shotgun sequence.
GGCCUCGUAGUUCAACGGAUAGAACGGAAGUUUCCUAAACUUCAAAUAUGGGUUCGAUUCCCGUCGGGGCUA